rnacentral:rRNA from 1 species
UUUGAUCCUGGCUCAGAACGAACGUUGGCGGCGUGGAUGAGGCAUGCAAGUCGAACGUGAAAGCCUUCGGGUGAGUAGCGUGGCGGACGGGUGAGUAACACGUAAUCAAGCUACCUGCCAGACGGGGAUAACUUCGGGAAACCGGAGACAAGACCCGAUGGUCUCACGGCAUCGCAUGUUGCUGUGUGUAAAUGGACGGGACCCUCCGGGGCCGUCUGCUGGCAGAGGUGAUUGCGGCCCAUCAGCUUGUUGGUAGGGUAAUGGCCUACCAAGGCUACGACGGGUAGCCGGCCUAAGAGGGUGGUCGGUCACACUGGGACUGAGACACUGCCCAGACACCUACGGGUGGCUGCAGUCGAGAAUCUUCGGCAAUGGACGAAAGUCUGACCGAGCGAUGCCGCGUGCGGGAUGAAGGCCCUCGGGUUGUAAACCGCUGUCAGUUGUUAGGAAAUGCAUGGUGGUUAUCCAUCAUGUUUGACCGAUCUUCAGAGGAAGGACGGGCUAAGUACGUGCCAGCAGCCGCGGUAACACGUACCGUCCAAACGUUAUUCGGUAUCACUGGGCUUAAAGCGUUCGUAGGCGGCCUAGAAGGUGAGAUGUGAAAGCCCACGGCUCAACCGUGGAAUUGCGUUUCAAACCACUAGGCUUGAGGAAGACAGGGGUGAUGGGAACUUAUGGUGGAGCGGUGAAAUGCGUUGAUAUCAUAGGGAACACCGGUGGCGAAAGCGCAUCACUGGGUCUUUUCUGACGCUGAGGAACGAAAGCUAGGGUAGCGAACGGGAUUAGAUACCCCGGUAGUCCUAGCCGUAAACGAUGAGCACUAGGCUGAGGGAACUUCCACAUUCUCUCGGCCGCAGGGAAACCAUUAAGUGCUCCGCCUGGGGAGUAUGGUCGCAAGGCUGA